CCUACGGGAGGCAGCAGUGGGGAAUAUUGCACAAUGGGGGAAACCCUGAUGCAGCGACGCCGCGUGAGUGAAGAAGUAUUUCGGUAUGUAAAGCUCUAUCAGCAGGAAAGAAAAUGACGGUACCUGACUAAGAAGCCCCGGCUAACUACGUGCCAGCAGCCGCGGUAAU
rnacentral:rRNA from 1 species